rnacentral:rRNA from 1 species
GACGAACGCUGGCGGCGUGCUUAACACAUGCAAGUCGAACGGAAAGGGCCUGCUUUGGUGGGGUGCUCGAGUGGCGAAAGUGUGAGUAACACGUGAGUAACCUUCCCUUGACGUUGGGAUAACUUCAUGAAACUGUGGCUAAGACCGGAUAGGAGCGCCUGCUGCAUGGUGGGGGUGGGAAAGUUUCGGCGGUUGGGGAUGGACGCGCGUCUUAUCAGCUUGUUGGUGGGGUAGUGGCUUACCAAGGCUUUGACGGGUAGCCGGCCUGAGAGGGUGACCGGCCACAUUGGGACUGAGAUACGGCCCAGACUCCUACGGGAGGCAGCAGUGGGGAAUAUUGCACAAUGGGCGGAAGCCUGAUGCAGCAACGCCGCGUGCGGGAUGACGGCCUUCGGGUUGUAAACCGCUUUCGCCUGUGACGAAGCGUGAGUGACGGUAAUGGGUAAAGAAGCACCGGCUAACUACGUG